UUCCUCGUGGUCAAGAGCCGCCAGGACUUCUUCAUGAUCAGCGGAGCUUGGUGGGUCGGAUGGAUUUUGAGGGUCGGAUAUGGUUGGGUUGAUAGUUUACAACUAGUAAUAGGUGCUAAGGAAAUUAGGGAAAAGUAAGGUUUGUUGCUUAAGCGUGUUUUAAACCAAUAAGCAUAUUCUUGAUCAAGUAUCAUGUCAC
rnacentral:lncRNA from 1 species